ACAUAGCGUUUGUACAACUAGUG
rnacentral:siRNA from 1 species